UAAAUUUCGGGCUCGGCCCGAUCCUCCCACCCUUUGUGUACCUACCUCUGUUGCUUUGGCGGGCCGCGGUCCUCCGCGGCCGCCCCCCUCCCCGGGGGGUGGCCAGCGCCCGCCAGAGGACCAUCAAACUCCAGUCAGUAAACGAUGCAGUCUGAAAAACAUUUAAUAAACUAAAACUUUCAACAACGGAUCUCUUGGUUCUGGCAUCGAUGAAGAACGCAGCGAAAUGCGAUAAGUAAUGUGAAUUGCAGAAUUCAGUGAAUCAUCGAAUCUUUGAACGCACAUUGCGCCCUUUGGUAUUCCGAAGGGCAUGCCUGUUCGAGCGUCAUUACAACCCUCAAGCUCUGCUUGGUAUUGGGCACCGUCCUUUGCGGGCGCGCCUCAAAGACCUCGGCGGUGGCGUCUUGCCUCAAGCGUAGUAGAACAUACAUCUCGCUUCGGAGCGCAGGGCGUCGCCCGCCGGACGAACCUUCUGAACUUUUCUCAAGGUUGACCUCGGAUCAGGUAGGGAUACCCGCUGAACUUAAGCAUAUCAAUAAGCGGAGGAA
rnacentral:rRNA from 1 species